UCCUUCGGGAUUAGUGGCGGACGGGUGAGUAACACGUGGGAACGUACCCUUUGGUUCGGAACAACCCAGGGAAACUUGGGCUAAUACCGAAUAAGCCCUUACGGGGAAAGAUUUAUCGCCGAAGGAUCGGCCCGCGUCUGAUUAGCUAGUUGGUGAGGUAACGGCUCACCAAGGCGACGAUCAGUAGCUGGUCUGAGAGGAUGAUCAGCCUCACUGGGACUGAGACACGGCCCAGACUCCUACGGGAGGCAGCAGUGGGGAAUAUUGGACAAUGGGCGCAAGCCUGAUCCAGCCAUGCCGCGUGGGUGAUGAAGGCCCUAGGG
rnacentral:rRNA from 1 species